UGGGGAAUUUUGGACAAUGGGCGCAAGCCUGAUCCAGCCAUGCCGCGUGCGGGAAGAAGGCCUUCGGGUUGUAAACCGCUUUUGUCAGGGAAGAAAAGGUUCUGGUUAAUACCUGGGACUCAUGACGGUAACUGAAGAAUAAGCACCGGCUAACUACGUGCCAGCAGCCGCGGUAAUACGUAGGGUGCAAGCGUUAAUCGGAAUUACUGGGCGUAAAGCGUGCGCAGGCGGUUAUGCAAGACAGAGGUGAAAUCACCGGGCUCAACCUGGGAACUGCCUUUGUGACUGCAUAGCUAGAGUACGGUAGAGGGGGAUGGAAUUCCGCGUGUAGCAGUGAAAUGCGUAGAUAUGCGGAGGAACACCGAUGGCGAAGGCAAUCCCCUGGACCUGUACUGACGCUCAUGCACGAAAGCGUGGGGAGCAAACAGG
rnacentral:rRNA from 1 species